CACGCUGUAAACGAUGAGUGCUAGGUGUUGGGUAGCGAUAUUCAGUGCCGGAGUAAACACAAUAAGCACUCCGCCUGGGGAGUACGGUCGCAAGACUGAAACUCAAAGGAAUUGACGGGGACCCGCACAAGCAGCGGAGCAUGUGGUUUAAUUCGAAGCAACGCGAAGAACCUUACCAAGGCUUGACAUCCCCUUGACAGAUGCAGAGAUGUAUCCUCCUCUUUUGAGGCAAGGGAGACAGGUGG
rnacentral:rRNA from 2 species